rnacentral:lncRNA from 1 species
GACCUCCAUUCUCUCUCAUCUCUCUCUUCAUCAGAUCUAAAUCAUCUAAUGCAUUCCAGGUUCUCGCGCACCUCCCUUGCUGUAACUUUCAGCACCGUCGAUGUUAUCUAUGGAGUAUGAAUCUCUCUCAACCUCUCUAAAGAUACACAAUUUGGUAAGCUCCGGAAGUUCGAUAACCGGAGCGAUGACUCUGAUCUGAUAUGAGAGAGAAGCAUAUAGGGAGUGCAUCAAUGAACGUCGUCGCUCCACCGAGUUGCAGCCGACGAGCUGAGAAACCUCUCGGUGGUGAAGCUGUGUGAUGGCUUAGGUAGCGCAACGAAGAAGGUUCUGGACAAGGUCGAAGUGGAAGAGAAGAAGAAACGUUUCUUAGAAGCUUUGACAAAACGCCCAAACCCGCCUAGACUCACUGCCCAGAUAUUCCGCCCAGACGCCUAGGCGUUAGGCGCCCGCCCAAAAUCAAGCCGCCUAACACUACCGAUUAGCCAUUAAUCGAGUCAGAGACUCACCGCCCAGCGCCUAGGCACCGCCUAGGCGGCCG